UACGUAGGCAGCGAGCGUUGUUCGGAGUUACUGGGCGUAAAGGGUGUGUAGGCGGUGGUUUAAGUUUGGUGUGAAAAUCUCCCGGCUCAACUGGGAGGGUGCGCCGAAUACUGAAUGACUUGGAGUGCGGGAGAGGAAAGUGGAAUUCCUGGUGUAGCGGUGAAAUGCGUAGAUAUCGGGAGGAACACCAGUGGCGAAGGCGGCUUCCUGGCCUGUUCUUGACGCGUGAGGCG
rnacentral:rRNA from 1 species